UACGGGGGGAGCAAGCGUUGUUCGGAUUUACUGGGCGUAAAGGGCGCGUAGGCGGCCAGCACAAGUCAGUUGUGAAAUCUCCGAGCUUAACUCGGAAAGGUCAACUGAUACUGUGCGGCUAGAGUGCGGAAGGGGCAACUGGAAUUCUUGGUGUAGCGGUGAAAUGCGUAGAUAUCAAGAGGAACACCUGCGGCGAAGGCGGGUUGCUGGGACGGUACUGGACGCUAAGGCGCGAAAGCGUGGGGAGCAAACAGGG
rnacentral:rRNA from 1 species